rnacentral:rRNA from 1 species
CUGGCUCAGGAUGAACGCUGGCGGCGUGCUUAACACAUGCAAGUCGAACGGAGAUAAGAGAAAGCUUGCUUUUCUUAUCUAGUGGCGGACGGGUGAGUAACGCGUGGGUAACCUACCCUGUACAGGGGGAUAGCAGUUGGAAACGACUGAUAAAACCGCAUAAAACGGCAGUACCGCAUGGUACAACCGUCAAAUAUUCAUAGGUACAGGAUGGGCCCGCGUCUGAUUAGCUAGUUGGUGGGGCAACGGCCUACCAAGGCGACGAUCAGUAGCCGGCCUGAGAGGGUGAACGGCCACAUUGGGACUGAGACACGGCCCAAACUCCUACGGGAGGCAGCAGUGGGGAAUAUUGGACAAUGGGGGAAACCCUGAUCCAGCGACGCCCGCGUGAGUGAAGAAGUAUUUCGGUAUGUAAAGCUCUAUCAGCAGGGAAGAUGAUGACGGUACCUGACUAAGAAGCACCGGCUAAAUACGUGCCAGCCGCUGC